GUCCUUUAGAAUAUAUAUUUAAGGUCUAACCUGCCCACUGAAUUUUUAAUGGCUGCAGUAUUUUGACUGUACAAAGGUAGCAUAAUCAUUAGUUUUUUAAUUAAAAGCUUGUAUGAAAGGUUGGACGAAAUAAAUUCUGUCUCUAUUUGAUUAAAUCUAGAAUUUAAUUUUUAAGUUAAAAAGCUUAAAUUUUUUUAAAAGACGAGAAGACCCUAUAGAUUUUUAUAUUAUUAUAAUUAUUUUAAUUUAAGAAUUUUUUGUAUUAUAUUUAUUAUAAUAUUUUAUUGGGGUAAUAUAAAGAUUUAAAAAAUUCUUUUUUUUUAUUAACAUUAAUUUAUGAAUUUUUGAUCCAUUUUAUUGAUUAUUAGAUUAAAUUACCUUAGGGAUAACAGCGUAAUUUUUUUUGAGAGUUCAUAUCGAUAAAAAAGUUUGCGACCUCGAUGUUGGAUUAAAAAUUAAUUUAGGUGUAGAAGCUUAAAUGUUUGGUCUGUUCGACCAUUAAAUUUUUACA
rnacentral:rRNA from 1 species